rnacentral:sRNA from 1 species
GAUGUCCAGGCCUUCCAUAGUCUUCCCUAGGGGUGUUGGGGUCAGGGGUCAUCAGCUGUGGCUCUGACCCUCCAUCUCAGUCCAGACCUCAGCAUGGCUCUAGGUCACAGGCAGUGAUUCUGAAUGUGCAUUUCUUCCAGAAACUCCACUUGGAAAUGUUGGCAGACCAGCCACGAACAACUAAAUACCACAGUGUCAUCCUGCAGAAUAAAGAAUCCCUGACGGAUAAAGUCAUCCUGGAUGUGGGCUGUGGGACUGGGAUCAUCAGUCUCUUCUGUGCACACUAUGCGCGGCCUAAAGCGGUGUACGCGGUGGAGGCCAGUGAGAUGGCACAGCACACGGGGCAGCUGGUCCUGCAGAACGGCUUUGCCGACAUCAUCACCGUGUACCAGCAGAAGGUGGAGGAUGUGGUGCUGCCCGAGAAGGUGGACGUGCUGGUGUCUGAGUGGAUGGGGACCUGCCUGCUGGUGAGGGCGGGCGUGCGGGCAGCUGGGGGCCCGAGAAGGUGGACGUGCUGGUGUCUGAGUGGAUGGGGACCUGCCUGCUGGUGAGGGCGGGCGUGCGGGCAGCUGGGGGCCGGAGCUGGGGGGCUUCCGAGCACGGGCUCGGCUGGGCCAACCUCAGGAUCUCAAGGGUCGUGCGUGAUUCAUUUUGAUGUUUUCCCUAAUGUGAGGUCUAAUUAAUUUCUUGUGUGGA